UUGUUGGUAAGGUAAAAGCUUACCAAGGCUUCGAUCAGUAGCUGGUCUGAGAGGACGACCAGCCACACUGGGACUGAGACACGGCCCAGACUCCUACGGGAGGCAGCAGUGGGGAAUUUUGGACAAUGGGGGCAACCCUGAUCCAGCCAUGCCGCGUGAGUGAAGAAGGCCUUCGGGUUGUAAAGCUCUUUCAGCCGGAACGAAACGGUUACGGUUAAUACCCGUGACUACUGACGGUACCGGAAGAAGAAGCACCGGCUAACUACGUGCCAGCAGCCGCGGUAAUACGUAGGGUGCGAGCGUUAAUCGGAAUUACUGGGCGUAAAGCGUGCGCAGGUGGUUUUGUAAGUCAGAUGUGAAAGCCCCGGGCUCAACCUGGGAACUGCGUUUGAAACUACAAGACUAGAGUGUGGCAGAGGGGGGUGGAAUUCCGCGUGUAGCAGUGAAAUGCGUAGAGAUGUGGAGGAACACCGAUGGCGAAGGCAGCCCCCUGGGUCAACACUGACGCUCAGGCACGAAAGCAUGGGGAGCAAACAGGAUUAGAUACCCUGGUAGUCCAUGCCCUAAGCGAUGUCAACUAGUUGUCGGGCCUUUACGGGCUUGGUAACGUAGCUAACGCGUGAAGUUGACCGCCUGGGGAGUACGAUCGCAAGAUUAAAACUCAAAUGAAUUGACGGGGACCCGCACAAGCGGUGGAUUAUGUGGAUUAAUUCGAUGCAACGCGAAAAACCUUACCUACCCUUGACAUGUAUCGAAGCCCGCAGAAAAGCGGGGGUGCCCGAAAGGGAACGAUAACACAGGUGCUGCAUGGCUGUCGUCAGCUCGUGUCGUGAGAUGUUGGGUUAAGUCCCGCAACGAGCGCAACCCUUGUCAUUAAUUGCCAUCAUUUAGUUGGGCACUUUAAUGAGACUGCCGG
rnacentral:rRNA from 1 species